rnacentral:rRNA from 1 species
CCGCGGUAAUACGGAGGAUCCAAGCGUUAUCCGGAAUCAUUGGGUUUAAAGGGUCCGUAGGCGGUUUGGUAAGUCAGUGGUGAAAGCCCAUCGCUCAACGGUGGAACGGCCAUUGAUACUGCCAGACUUGAAUUACUGGGAAGUAACUAGAAUAUGUAGUGUAGCGGUGAAAUGCUUAGAGAUUACAUGGAAUACCAAUUGCGAAGGCAGGUUACUACCAGUGGAUUGACGCUGAUGGACGAAAGCGUGG